rnacentral:misc_RNA from 1 species
AGAACAAGGGAAUAAAAUAAAAAAAGGCGCUUCAUGAUUUAGCGGCAACUAAAUCACGAAGCCUUGAAUAGUCACCUGUGCAAGUGGACCAUCAAGUUGCCCGUUCAAUCAAUGGAAACCAUUGAUCACUUUUAUUUUACUGAAUUUUUGAAAAAAUUACCAGUUUUUUUAAGAAGUAAGAAGUGGAAGAACGAAGGAUGCUUUUUAUGGAAUGUGCAAUGACGUUUAGAAAAAUCUGAAGGUCAUUUUUUAUUCUCUUGUUCAAACAUUCAAACAUAGGGGAAGAGAGACGGACGUAAUUUUGUCACCGAUUAUUACGUCCGUCUUCCGUUGUUU